AUAAGAAUCACCUAGGGAGCUUGUUAAAAUGCAGAGUCUUAAUCAGUAGGCAUGAAAUUCUGCAAUUUUAACAUGUUCUCAGGGAUGGUGCU
rnacentral:pre_miRNA from 15 species